rnacentral:tRNA from 1 species
AUUAAAGUAGCAAAAAGGUCAAUGCGGAAGAUUUAGGUUCUUCUACCAAAGGUUCAAGUCCUUUCUUUAGUU